AACGAACGCUGGCGGCAGGCUUAACACAUGCAAGUCGAGCGCCCCGCAAGGGGAGCGGCAGACGGGUGAGUAACGCGUGGGAAUCUACCGAGCCCUAAGGAAUAGCUCCGGGAAACUGGAAUUAAUACCUUAUACGCCCUUUUGGGGAAAGAUUUAUCGGGGUUUGAUGAGCCCGCGUUGGAUUAGCUAGUUGGUGGGGUAAAGGCCUACCAAGGCGACGAUCCAUAGCUGGUCUGAGAGGAUGAUCAGCCACAUUGGGACUGAGACACGGCCCAAACUCCUACGGGAGGCAGCAGUGGGGAAUAUUGGACAAUGGGCGCAAGCCUGAUCCAGCCAUGCCGCGUGAGUGAUGAAGGCCCUAGGGUUGUAAAGCUCUUUCACCGGAGAAGAUAAUGACGGUAUCCGGAGAAGAAGCCCCGGCUAACUUCGUGCCAGCCGCCGCUGUAACAC
rnacentral:rRNA from 1 species